rnacentral:rRNA from 1 species
GAGUUUGAUCAUGGCUCAGAUUGAACGCUGGCGGAAUGCUUUACACAUGCAAGUCGAACGGCAGCACGGGAGCUUGCUCCUGGUGGCGAGUGGCGAACGGGUGAGUAAUGCGUCGGAACGUACCGAGUAAUGGGGGAUAACGCACCGAAAGGUGUGCUAAUACCGCAUACGCCCUGAGGGGGAAAGCAGGGGAUCGUAAGACCUUGCGUUAUUCGAGCGGCCGACGUCUGAUUAGCUAGUUGGUGGGGUAAAGGCCUACCAAGGCGACGAUCAGUAGCGGGUCUGAGAGGAUGAUCCGCCACACUGGAACUGAGACACGGUCCAGACUCCUACGGGAGGCAGCAGUGGGGAAUUUUGGACAAUGGGGGCAACCCUGAUCCAGCCAUUCCGCGUGAGUGAAGAAGGCCUUCGGGUUGUAAAGCUCUUUCAGCUGGAACGAAACGGUACGCUCUAACAUAGCGUGCUAAUGACGGUACCAGCAGAAGAAGCACCGGCUAACUACGUGCCAGCAGCCGCGGUAAUACGUAGGGUGCGAGCGUUAAUCGGAAUUACUGGGCGUAAAGCGUGCGCAGGUGGAUUGUUAAGCAAGACGUGAAAUCCCCGGGCUUAACCUGGGAAUGGCGUUUUGAACUGGCAGUCUAGAGUGUGUC